CUCCAGACUCCUACGGGAGGCAGCAGUGGGGAAUAUUGCACAAUGGGGGGAACCCUGAUGCGGCGACGCCGCGUGGGUGAAGGAGUAUUUCGGUAUGUAAAGCCCUAUCAGCAGGGAAGAACAAUGACGGUACCUGACUAAGAAGCACCGGCUAAAUACGUGCCAGCAGCCGCGGUAAUACGUAUGGUGCAAGCGUUAUCCGGAUUUACUGGGUGUAAAGGGAGCGUAGACGGCCAUGCAAGCCAGGGGUGAAAGCCCGGGGCCCAACCCCGGGACUGCCCUUGGAACUGCAUGGCUGGAGUGCGGGAGGGGCAGGCGGAAUUCCUGGUGUAGCGGUGAAAUGCGUAGAUAUCAGGAGGAACACCGGCGGCGAAGGCGGUCUGCUGGACCGCGACUGACGUUGAGGCUCGAAAGCGUGGGGAGCGAACAGGAUUAGAUACCCCUGUA
rnacentral:rRNA from 1 species